rnacentral:tRNA from 3 species
GGGGCCUUAGCUCAGCUGGGAGAGCGCCUGCUUUGCACGCAGGAGGUCAGGGGUUCGAUCCCCCUAGGCUCCAC